rnacentral:rRNA from 1 species
UACGGAGGGUGCAAGCGUUGUUCGGAUUUACUGGGCGUAAAGCGCGUGUAGGCGGCCCUGCAAGUCGGGUGUGAAAUCCCACGGCUCAACCGUGGAAGUGCAUUCGAAACUGCAGGGCUAGAGUCCUGGAGAGGAAGGUGGAAUGCUUGGUGUAGAGGUGAAAUUCGUAGAUAUCAAGCGGAACACCGGUGGCGAAGGCGGCCUUCUGGACAGUGACUGACGCUGAGACGCGAAAGCGUGGGGAGCAAACAGG